rnacentral:rRNA from 1 species
GUGAGGAAUAUUGGACAAUGGAUGGAAAUCUGAUCCAGCCAUGCCGCGUGCAGGAAGACGGCCCUAUGGGUUGUAAACUGCUUUUAUACGGGAGCAAUAAGGUCUAUGCAUAGAUUGAUGAGAGUACCGUAUGAAUAAGCAUCGGCUAACUCCGUGCCAGCAGCCGCGGUAAUACGGAGGAUGCGAGCGUUAUCCGGAUUUAUUGGUGUUAAAGGGUGCGUAGGCGGCUUUGUAAGUCAGCGGUGAAAUUGUGCAGCUUAACUGUAAAAGCGCCGUUGAUACUGUGAAGCUAGGAUUUGGUUGCUGUGGGCGGAAUGUGUGGUGUAGCGGUGAAAUGCAUAGAGAUCACACAGAAUAUCGAUUGCGAAGGCAGCUCACAAAGCCAAUAUUGACGCUGAGGCACGAAAGUGUGGGGAUCAAACAGGAUUAGAUACCCGGGUAGUCC